rnacentral:rRNA from 1 species
UUAGGAAUCUUCCACAAUGGGCGAAGGCCUGAUGGAGCGACGCCGCGUGAGGGAUGAAGGCCUUAGGGUUGUAAACCUCUAAAAGAGGGACGAUAAUGACGGUACCUCUUGAAUAGCACCGGCUAACUCCGUGCCAGCAGCCGCGGUAAUACGGGGGGUGCAAGCGUUAUCCGGAAUCACUGGGCGUAAAGGGCGCGUAGGCGGUCUGUUAAGUCCGAUGUUAAAUCCCGGGGCUCAACCCCGGAUAAGCGUUGGAUACUGGCAGGCUAGACGGUUGGAGAGGCGAGUGGAAUUACCAGUGUAGCGGUGGAAUGCGUAGAUACUGGUAGGAACACCCAUUGCGAAGGCAGCUCGCUGGACAACACGUGACGCUGAGGCGCGAAAGUGUGGGGAGCAAACC